UGGCUUAGGAUGAACGCUGGCGGCGUGCCUAACACAUGCAAGUCGAACGAAGCACUCUUGCUGAUCCUUCGGGUGAUGCAUUAGUGACUGAGUGGCGGACGGGUGAGUAACGCGUGGGUAACCUGCCCUGUACAGGGGGAUAACAGUCAGAAAUGACUGCUAAUACCGCAUAAGCGCACGAGAGGACAUCCUCUCGUGUGAAAAAACUCCGGUGGUACAGGAUGGGCCCGCGUCUGAUUAGCUUGUUGCGGGGUAAGGGCCCACCAAGGCGACGAUCAGUAGCCGGUCUGAGAGGAUGAACGGCCACAUUGGAACUGAGACACGGUCCAAACUCCUACGGGAGGCAGCAGUGGGGAAUAUUGCACAAUGGGGGGAACCCUGAUGCAGCCAACGCCGCGUGAGUGAAGAAGUAUUUCGGUAUGUAAAGCUCUAUCAGCAGGGAAGAUAAUGACGGUACCUGACUAAGAAGCUCCGGCUAAAUACGUGCCAGCAGCCGC
rnacentral:rRNA from 1 species